rnacentral:rRNA from 1 species
GUGGGGAAUUUUGGACAAUGGGCGCAAGCCUGAUCCAGCAAUGCCGCGUGCAGGAAGAAGGCCUUCGGGUUGUAAACUGCUUUUGUCAGGGAAGAAAUCUUCUGGGCUAAUACCCCGGGAGGAUGACGGUACCUGAAGAAUAAGCACCGGCUAACUACGUGCCAGCAGCCGCGGUAAUACGUAGGGUGCGAGCGUUAAUCGGAAUUACUGGGCGUAAAGCGUGCGCAGGCGGCUUUGCAAGACAGAUGUGAAAUCCCCGGGCUCAACCUGGGAACGGCGUUUGUGACUGCAAGGCUAGAGUACGGCAGAGGGGGAUGGAAUUCCGCGUGUAGCAGUGAAAUGCGUAGAUAUGCGGAGGAACACCAAUGGCGAAGGCAAUCCCCUGGGCCUGUACUGACGCUCAUGCACGAAAGCGUGGGGAGCAAACAGGAUUAGAAACCCUGGUAGUCC